UUCAGCGGCGGACGGGUGAGUAAUGCCUAGGAAUCUGCCUGGUAGUGGGGGACAACGUUUCGAAAGGAACGCUAAUACCGCAUACGUCCUACGGGAGAAAGUGGGGGAUCUUCGGACCUCACGCUAUCAGAUGAGCCUAGGUCGGAUUAGCUAGUUGGUGAGGUAAAGGCUCACCAAGGCGACGAUCCGUAACUGGUCUGAGAGGAUGAUCAGUCACACUGGAACUGAGACACGGUCCAGACUCCUACGGGAGGCAGCAGUGGGGAAUAUUGGACAAUGGGCGAAAGCCUGAUCCAGCCAUGCCGCGUGUGUGAAGAAGGUCUUCGGAUUGUAAAGCACUUUAAGUUGGGAGGAAGGGCA
rnacentral:rRNA from 1 species